GGGACUGUUAAUCAUAUAUGUUAUCAUCUUGAUGAGCCAAGACUUAAGGAAUAUUUCAGGAAUCUUUAUAAAUGCCUUUAGAGAUAUCUCUUCAAUAGAAGUGCUAGAAUCUAUACACAGAACAUCCAUAUUAUCAAUCACCACCACAGGCUGUUCACAAGGCUCAAGAUCUGGGUUCUGGUCUCUUGCAUAUAAUAGUUUAUUAAACAUUCUCUGCUGUAGACUCAAGAAUACAGGGUUAUACAGAUGACACAAUUCUACUUGCCUCACACAGAGACAAGUUACAGGAAAUCAUGACAUUUUAGAAAGCAUUCACAAGUAGAGCUUAGAACAAAAACUCU
rnacentral:lncRNA from 1 species